rnacentral:lncRNA from 1 species
GUACUAUGAAGGCACAUGCAAACAACGGACUGCAGACAACACUGUACAGAGCCAAAGGCGUUAACAAGUGUCCUGUGAAACCUACAAGAAAACUUCAGCAUUCCCAUUGGGGUUAUUGCUCUAUCCAAGAGUUGUUGUAAUCAUGUUUUUGGUUCCGAGCUGGUGUCAGUACCUUCGCUGUGGGUUCUGGAUCCAGUAUGGCGGUUCUGGUUGGGCGGGUCCAUCUUCAGGGCUUCCUUGAUCAGCCGCAGAGACGCAGGCUGGUAGCCCCCCUCCACCAUGUCACUGGACUACAGACAGAGCAAAAAUAACUACAUUACCCACAAUAGACAACACAGUAACAUUAAUGCAGAGUUCACGAGCACACCCAGCAUUUCAUGCAAAGUGCACUUUCAUAAGUAUUUACAAGUAUCCCCAAGUCACAAGAACACUGUUCAAGUUUUACACUGUGCAUUUUCUGUAAACGUACAAUGUUUAGACAGUUUAAGAUGACAUGAAGAAAAGUAAUUGUAUUAUUUAAGUCGCCUGGUAGAAUACACAACUGUUCCGUCCUAACAUUAUAAUGUUUAGGGUCUACAACGUUCUACACUCGAGUGCACUUUCAGGACAAGCACUUCUGCACCUGAAUAUCAAAUCGGUGUCUUUCCAACAUCCACCAGCACUGCUGCAGUUCGUCAGUCACUCAAACACAGCAGAUUAAAAACAUUGUUCUGAGUCUCACCACGCACAGAUAAACUUCACUGAACAAAAAUAUAAAAACGCAACAUGUAGUGUUGGUCCCAUGUUUCAUGAGCUGAAAUAAAAGAUCCCAGAAAUGUUCCAUUUGCACACAAAAAAUUACAUUUCUCUCCCUGUUAGUGAGCAUUUCUCUUUUUACCAAGGUAAUCCAUCCACCUGACAGGUGUGGCAUAUCAAGAAGCUGAUUUAAACAGCAUGAUCAUUGCACAUAUAAAAUGUGCAGUUGUCACAAUGCCACAGAUGUCUCAAGUUGAGGUAGCAUGCAGUCGGCAUGCUGACUGCAGGAAUGUCCACCAGCGCUGUUGCCACAGAAUUGAAUGUUCAUUUCUCUCCCAUAAGCCGACUCCCACGUAGUUUCAGAGAAUUUGUUAGUACGUCCAACCGGCCUCACAACCGCAGACCACGUGUCUGGGGGUCAUGUGGGAGAGCGGUUUGCAGAUGUCAACAUUGUAAACAGUGCCCCAUGGUGGCGGUGGGGUUAUGGCAUGGGCAGGAAUAAGCUACAGACAACGAAAACAACCGCAUUUUAUUGAUGGCAAUUUGGAUUGCACAUAGAUACAGUGAUGAGAUCUUGAGGCCCAUCACCUUAUGUUUCAGCAUAAUGCUGCACAGCCCCAUGUUGCAAGGAUCUGUACACAACUCCUGGAAGCUGAACAUUCCCCAGUUCUUCCAUGGCCUGCAUACUUACCAGACAUGUCACCCCAUCGAGCAUGUGUGGGAUGCUCUGGAUCGACGUGUAUGUCAGCGUGUUCCAGUUCCCGCCAAUAUCCAGCAACUUCGCUCAGCCAUUGACGAGGAGUGGGACAACAUUCCACAGGCCACAAUCAACAGCCUGAUCAACUCUAUGAGAAGGAGAUGUGUCGCGCUGGAUGAGGCAAAUGGUGGUCAAACCAGAUAGUGACUGGUUCUGAUCCAUGCCCAACGUUAUUUAAAAAAAAAAAAAAAGCUACAGUAUCUGUGACCAACAGAUGCAUAUCUACAUUCCCAGUCAUGUGAAAUCCAUAGAUUAGGGCCUAAUGAAUGCAUUUCAAUUGACCGGUUUUACUUCUAUGAACUGUAAGACAGUAAAAUCUUUGAAAUUGUUACAUGUUCAGUAUAGUGGUCUCUGGUGCAGUGAAUGACAUUCAGACUCCUCGGAAAACCUCAUCUCCCUCACCUCCUCUUUGAUGUUUUCUCCUUCCUCCCCGGGGAACUGAAUGAGGUACAGCUCGCGUGCCUCCUUCCACCCUCCCCCCGUUACUACCCUGGCUGCUCCUCCUCCUUCCUCCCCCGCGCCUCCAAAGGCAAGGCCCAGCGUCUGCUUUCCUCCUGAGGAGGAAGGGAGAGAGGAAAGGGAGCGGAUGGGGUGAGGAGGGAGCAUUAAGGAAAGAGUGGGAGGGACAGAGCGGUGAUAUAAAUAGAGGGGGAAGGGAGAGAGCAUUAUGAAGGAGAGGAAGGAAAGCAGGGAGAGGAGGAGGGAUGGCAGGGAGCGGGAGAGAGGCGAGGGGGGCAUGAAGGAUGGAGGGGAGCGGUGACAGAAGUGGAGAAAUUGGGGGAAGGGAGAAAGCAUGUUGAAGGAGAGCAGGAGGGAUGGCAUGGCGCAGGAGAGAGCAUGGACGAGAGGGGGUGAGAGGGGAGCAGUGACAGUGGAGGAGUUGGGGGAAGGGAGAGCAUGAAGGAGAGGAGGCAGAGUAGGGAGAAGGAGAGAGGAAGCGUAAAGGAGAGCAGAGGGGGUGGGAGUGAAAAGGGGAGAGGAAAGCGAAUAGAGAAUUGGAGGAGGUGGGGGCAGGGAGAAGGAGAGGGCAGGAUGAAGAGCAGAGGGAGAAGGAGGGAGGGAGGAGAGAGGUCGUGAUGGAGAGCGGAGAUAGGAGUGGGGGAGGUGAAAGAUAGAAAAUGAAGAGGAGGUGGGGGAGGGAGAGCGGAGGAGUAGAGAGGGAAGGAGAGAUGAGACAGCUCAGCCUCUGCCAGAUGGCUUCCAACAUAACAAGCACCUCUUCACACAAGCAUUACAGGCUUUCGACUUAAUGGUACACAAGAAAUCAACUUGUAUUGAUGUGAUAUGCAAUCACAUAACAUUUCAAUCAGAAUAUGAUGAAUGAUGUUUAAUGUCAGUUUUAUACAUAGGGAAAGACAAAUACAUAAACUACUUUAUGGUCCGUGAUGCUUUUGUGGCUGUACUUACUAAAUAUGAACACUUACGAGGCACUUCAAUUUUCCGCUUUUUCCGCCCACCGUCCUCAGACACUAUCAAACCAGCAUUGCGGCGAUUCUCUGCCCACCCCAUCCCGUACUUGCGUUCAUUUCUCAGUUUGUUCUCCGUCAGUCGGAGUCGGAGUUUCAGAGCGUCCAUUUCCUUCCUGUUCAGCGAUAUUUCCACCAGAUAGUCAUUCACCGUGUCCUGGAACAGUUUGGUGAUCUCGCACACCGAUGCGCGGAUCAAACUGUCCAUGACAGAGGUUAGGUGGGUCUGGAACGUCUCCACCGAGUCCGCCAUGGGUUCGCUGCCUUGACGAUCACACGAUGGAUAUGGGAAACUGGACGAGGCAGAUAUUCAACUGUAACACGAAAAGUAAUAACUAGAGUUGAACGUUACCAAGUCACAUUGUCAGUGAGUGACAACGGUACGUUAGUCAGCAGUAUCAUACAUACCUGUAAUUAAACCAAGUACCUAACGUUAGCUAUCUUCUGAAGGAUAAUAAUUGUUCUUGCUAGUAAUUAAGAUAGUAGCCUAGCUACUCACUACCAACAAAUGCAGCAGUUGAGCAAGAGAGCAUAACGUCGUAUGGCGCGAGGAAAAACAAGUAGCACCUACCACACCGUGAAUGUGAACUCAGCUUUACCGCGCGACCUAGCUACCACACUUGAGGGUUAGCUAGCUAGCUAACGUUAGCUUGAUUGCUACCAUAAGCUUUAUAAAUCCAGCUAACUCGACCACUAUUACAACACCACUAAGGCUAGACCAUACUAUGUGGCAACACUAACGUUACAGUACAAAGCCAGCUAACUAACGAUCGUCGCUAUCCGACCUUAUAAAGCUCCCUUCUUGAAUACAACGCUAGCUAGCUCGCUAACGUUAAGCUACAGCUCAAGCACAUAUUUGGCUCAAGUGGCAGCUAGGCUAGUAAUUCUAGCUAGCGUUACGUACCGUGCAGUCGCUGAAAUCAGGAUAACGAAACACCGUUUGAUAUAAACGACAACCAAUACGUAUGAACACCGUAGAUAAGCCAAGCGUCAAUAUGACAAAGGAAAAAUAGAUCCAACUUUAUAUCCUCCCUUCUAAACACCGUUGAGGGCAUGCGUAGUAGACAUUACCGUAUACAACCACAUCCUAAAAAAUGUCAUUUUGAGGCGAUGCAUGGGUUUAGACGAUUGACGUAUAUAAAACCUGGAUUGCUGACGCUAUGUAUUGGCCAUAUUGGCACUCCCUAGGUCGGAGGAGCAGUCCUCCAUAGAGCCUCACAGUGGAGGUGUCAUAAUACCCAUAAAACCUAACGGUCAAACUGAGGUGUAACUACGGACCCGGGUUUGAUCCCGGGCUGUAUCACAACCAGCUGUGAUCGGGAGUCCCAUAGGGCACCGUCUGGGUUAGGAGAGGGUUUGGCUGGGGUAGGCCGUCAUUGUAAAUAAGAAUUUGUUCUUAACUGACUUGCCUAGUUAAAUAAAAGGUCAAAAAAAUAAAGAAAUAAUGGUUCCAAUCGUUUUCCCACCAUUCAUUUUCCCAUAGGGAAUUUUAGAAACACUUAAAAUAAGGGUUGUGUUUCAUGUAGGCUUGUCCUGGUGACAUUUUGAUAACUCACCUUGUCCGAGAGAUUUACAUGGUUAUUAAUAUAUUUGUCUCUAUUUACUCUCCGACAUCAUGCAAAGCAGACAUCAUGCAAAGCGACAAAUUACAUUUACAAAUCCCUGCAAGCUCCUGCACUUCAUCUCUAGCUGAUAUCUUUGCUAACAGGUAUUGUGUCAAUUUAAAACGUGCACAAGACAGUUCACAGAAUUGUCCAUUUAAAUACAUUUUGCCAAUUUAUUCAAUACUACAUUUAACUAGCAUUAGAUAGUUAAUCCAGAGAUUCUUACAUUUGCCUCGAUUUGGCAGUCUUGUCCAGAUCAUAGCAUUUGCAGUUCUUUAUUAUCGUCACAUUAGCAACUAAUUAGCGGUAAAUUUGCUCCCCUUUGGUCAGUGUGGCGAGGGAUGUUCUGAUCAAUAAAUUGCAAAACUCGUGCAGCACACACCAUACCAGAAAUACUAAGAAAUUAGGAGAUGUGAAACUCAAUUCAUAAUAUAACCCAUUGUGUUCAUUGCCCAUAGAGAUAGGACUCUAGUGCACAAAAGCCCAUUUAGGAUGGGUAGCGCCAUCGAGGACUUUCACCAUUUUGAAGUAGUCAACUUUGUGAGGCUUCCUAUGGGAUCAGCAAAUGAAUUAUGCUUGUGAGCAAACAUUCCAUAACUGUAGAUGGCAGUAAAUCACCAACCUUGGCUUUAUGCCUGUACAAAUAAAUAACACACUUCAGCUGGCAGUAUGCACCCUUUCACGGAACCCAAACCGUCUGUGCACGUGCGCCAUCGUGCAUACAUUUAUUUUGUCCCCCCACACCAAACGCAUGUUAAAAUAUAACAACAAACUCUGAACCAAUUACAUUCAUUUAGGAACAGGUCAAAAAGCAUGAAACAUUUAUGGCAAUUUAGCUAGCUUGCACUUGCUAGCUAAUUUGUCCUAUUUAGCUAGCUUGCUGUUGCUAGCUAAUUUGUCCUGGGAUAUAGUUAAACAUUGAGUUGUUAUUUUACCUGAAAUGCACAUGGUCCUAUACUCCGACAAUUAAUCCACACAUAAAACGGUCAACCGAAUCAUUUCUAGUCAUCUCUCCUCCUUCCAGGCUUUUUAAUCUUUGCAUUUAUAUGGUUAUUGGCAUCUAAACUUUCAUAGUAUUACUACACCAACCGGCAACACAGUUCGUUUUUCAAUCACCCA